rnacentral:sRNA from 1 species
AAGACUAUACUUUCAGGGAUCAUUUCUAUAGUAUGUUACUAGAUUGAGGAAAUUCUCAGUCAUUAUU